UACGAAGGGGACUAGCGUUGUUCGGAAUCACUGGGCGUAAAGCGCACGUAGGCGGAUUCGUAAGUCAGGGGUGAAAUCCCGGGGCUCAACCUCGGAACUGCCUUUGAUACUGCGGGUCUUGAGUCCGAUAGAGGUGGGUGGAAUUCCUAGUGUAGAGGUGAAAUUCGUAGAUAUUAGGAAGAACAUCAGUGGCGCAAGCGGCGCCCUGGCCUUAGCCUGACGCUCAGGGGCGAAAGCGUGGGGAGCGAACGGG
rnacentral:rRNA from 1 species